rnacentral:rRNA from 1 species
UACGGAGGGUGCAAGCGUUAUCCGGAUUCACUGGGUUUAAAGGGUGCGUAGGUGGGUUGGUAAGUCAGUGGUGAAAUCCCCCGAGCUUAACUUGGGAACUGCCAUUGAUACUAUCAGUCUUGAAUAUUGUGGAGGUUAGCGGAAUAUGUCAUGUAGCGGUGAAAUGCUUAGAUAUGACAUAGAACACCAAUUGCGAAGGCAGCUGGCUACGCAUAUAUUGACACUGAGGCACGAAAGCGUGGGGAGCGAACAGG